GAUGAACGCUGGCGGCGUGCCUAAUACAUGCAAGUCGAGCGAACAGACGAGGAGCUUGCUCCUUUGACGUUAGCGGCGGACGGGUGAGGAACACGUAGGUAACCUACCUAUAAGACUGGGAUAACUUCGGGAAACCGGAGCUAAUACCGGGUAAUAUUUCGAACCGCAUGGUUCGAUAGUGAAAGAUGGCUUUGCUAUCACUUAUAGAUGGACCUGCGCCGUAUUAGCUAGCUGGUAAGGUAACGGCUUACCAAGGCAACGAUACGUAGCCGACCUGAGAGGGUGAUCGGCCACACUGGAACUGAGACACGGUCCAGAAUCCUACGGGAAGCAGCAGUAGGGAAUCUUCCGCGAAAGGCGAAAGCCUGACGGAGCAGCGCCGCGUGAGUGAUGAAGGUCUUCGGAUCGUAAAACUCUGUUAUUAGGGAAGAACAAACGUGUAAGUAACUAUGCACGUCUUGACGGUACCUAAUCAGAAAGCCACGGCUAACUACGUG
rnacentral:rRNA from 1 species